AAUCGUUUCAAAUGUGCUUUGAAUAAAAGCAAUAAUGAAACUAUUCUUCAGUGCUUUAUUUUCACACCAGCCCUCAUAUGAUGUAAGAGACUGUACACAUCCCUUAAUUAGAACGGUGAUAGAAUAAACACAACUGCAAUUUUUUUCCAUCCUAGAAAAAGACUACUUUUGGUUAAGUCUUUUCUAUCAAGCUGGUAUUCAUUUUGGGGCAGGAAUCCAUGCCACCAACUGUGGAGAAGUUUAUAUGAUACCUAUUGCUGGUCAUUAAAAAAGUCAAUCCCCAAACAACUCCUGCUUUCAUCAAAAUGAGAUUCCUGAAAGGAAGCAGAGUAGAUCACACAAAAAAAUCCGACAGACAACAGCAGUAACAGCAUGCCUCUGAUCUGCUACAGGUGCUGUCCCAUCUCCUUUCAGCAAGUGAAUCACAUUUACUGUGUUCCACAGCCUACAAGCCUUAUGGAGAUGCUCUCAUCAGCAAAUCUCUCAGCAGUUUCAGGCCUAACAAGGCAGCAGCCGCGGCCCCUCCUCUACACACCCUCGUCCCUCACGCCGCCUCCACAGCAAGGGCCCGAAGCCGCCACUGUCCCCAAGGAGGCCAGGCCGCUGACACGCCUCCCCGCUCUCCCCUUGGGAGCCCUGCGCCACAGCGGGACAGAGACACGGAGGGGAAAAUCCAACCGGGCCCAACGCCUCCGCCAGCCGCCACGCCGGCCCGGCCCCGCCGCCACAGCUUUCCCUCGUUCUGCCCCCGCCUAGCCAAUCACCGCCCAGACAGGCCGGGCACGGGAAUAACUGACAGCCAGAAGCAGCCAAUCGUGGCAAAGCUAAGGGCGGGCGCUCGGCACGCGAGCCCCUUUAAAAGGGGCGACCGUUGGCGGAAGGCGGACCGCUGCUGUGCAUGGUGCAGGCGCGGCCGUAAUGGGCCGUUGGGGCGUCGCGCGCGGGCGGUGCCGCGUGGCCGACCUCAGGGCGGGAGAUCCGCCGCCUCAGAGCCUCUCCUGAG
rnacentral:lncRNA from 1 species